GAGUUUGAUCCUGGCUCAGAAUGAACGCUGGCGGCAGGCCUAACACAUGCAAGUCGAACGGAGUUAUAUUGUAGCUUGCUAUGGUAUAACUUAGUGGCAGACGGGUGAGUAAUGUAUAGGAAUCUACCUAGUAGUACGGAAUAAUUGUUGGAAACGGCAACUAAUACCGUAUACGCCCUACGGGGGAAAAAUUUAUUGCUAUUAGAUGAGCCUAUAUUAGAUUAGUUAGUUGGUGAGGUAAAGGCUUACCAAGACAAUGAUCUAUAGCUGAUCUGAGAGGAUGAUCAGCCACACUGGAACUGAGAUAUGGUCCAGACUCCUACGGGAGGCAGCAGUGGGGAAUAUUGGACAAUGGGCGAAAGCCUGAUCCAGCUAUGCCGCAUGAGUGAAGAAGGCCUUCGGGUUGUAAAGCUCUUUUAGUGAGGAAGAUAAUGACGGUACUCACAGAAGAAGUCCUGGCUAACUCCGUGCCAGCAGCCGCGGUAAUACGGAGUGGGCUAGCGUUAUUCGGAAUCAUUGGGCGUAAAGGGCGCGUAGGCGGGUUAAUAAGUUAAAAGUGAAAUCCCAAGGCUCAACCUUGGAUCUGCUUUUAAAACUGCUAGNCUAGAGAUUGAAAGAGGAUAGAGGAAUUCCUAGUGUAGAGGUGAAAUUCGUAAAUAUUA
rnacentral:rRNA from 1 species